rnacentral:tRNA from 1 species
GCCCUGGUGGCGAAAUUGGUAGACGCGCACGUUUGAGGGGCGUGUGGAGCAAUCCAUGCCAGUUCGAGUCUGGCCCAGGGCACCA